rnacentral:rRNA from 1 species
UACAGAGGUCCCAAGCGUUGUUCGGAUUCACUGGGCGUAAAGGGUGCGUAGGCGGUCGGGUAAGUCUGAUGUGAAUCUCACAGCUUAACUGUGAAACUGCAUUGGAUACUAUCCGGCUCGAGGAAUGGAGGGGAGACUGGAAUACUUGGUGUAGCAGUGAAAUGCGUAGAUAUCAAGUGGAACACCAGUGGCGAAGGCGAGUCUCUGGACAUUUCCUGACGCUGAGGCACGAAAGCCAGGGGAGCAAACGGG